rnacentral:rRNA from 1 species
UAGGGAAUCUUCCGCAAUGGACGCAAGUCUGACGGAGCAACUCCGCGUGAGUGAAGAAGGAUUUCGGUUCGUAAAACUCUGUUGUUAGAGAAGAACAGCGCAUAGAGUAACUGUUAUGCGUGUGACGGUAUCUAACCAGAAAGCCACGGCUAACUACGUGCCAGCAGCCGCGGUAAUACGUAGGUGGCAAGCGUUGUCCGGAUUUAUUGGGCGUAAAGCGAGCGCAGGCGGUCAAUUAAGUCUGAUGUGAAAGCCCCCGGCUCAACCGGGGAGGGUCAUUGGAAACUGGUUGACUUGAGUGCAGAAGAGGAGAGUGGAAUUCCAUGUGUAGCGGUGAAAUGCGUAGAUAUAUGGAGGACCACCGGUGGCGAAAGCGGCUCUCUGGUCUGUAACUGACGCUGAGGCUCGAAAGCGUGGGGAGCGAACAGG